rnacentral:snRNA from 1 species
AGCUUUGCGCAGUGGAAGUAUCGUAGCCAAUGAGGUUUAUCCGAGGCGCUAUUAUUGCUAAUUGAAACCUACUCCCCUGUUGUAGAGGAGGGUCUACGGCAGAAUGGGAAGGGACUUGUUC